CAGAAAAGGACAAUAUCCAUGCUGUGGGA
rnacentral:piRNA from 1 species